AUAUAAAUAGGCUAAUAAAUUAAGCUUUUAAACUCAUAAUUUAAAGAUGAAUAACUAUUCUUUAUAUA
rnacentral:tRNA from 1 species